rnacentral:rRNA from 1 species
GCCAGACUCCUACGGGAGGCAGCAGUGGGGGAUAUUGCACAAUGGGGGGAACCCUGAUGCAGCGACGCCGCGUGGGUGAAGGAGUGCUUCGGCAUGUAAAGCCCUAUCGGCAGGGAAGAAGCAAGACGGUACCUGACUAAGAAGCCCCGGCUAACUACGUGCCAGCAGCCGCGGUAAUACGUAGGGGGCGAGCGUUAUCCGGAUUCACUGGGUGUAAAGGGAGCGUAGACGGCGAUGCAAGCCAGAUGUGAAAGCCCGGGGCUCAACCCCGGGACUGCAUUUGGAACUGUGUGGCUGGAGUGUCGGAGAGGCAGGCGGAAUUCCUAGUGUAGCGGUGAAAUGCGUAGAUAUUAGGAGGAACACCAGUGGCGAAGGCGGCCUGCUGGACGAUGACUGACGUUGAGGCUCGAAAGCGUGGGGAGCAAACAGGAUUAGAUACCCCCGUAC